UUUUAUUUCAAAUCACCAGUUAU
rnacentral:snRNA from 1 species